rnacentral:rRNA from 1 species
GACGAACGCUGGCGGCGUGCUUAACACAUGCAAGUCGAACGGAGAGACUCUUCUGAUGGGACUAGCUGACGUUGGGUGCGGACGAGUUAGGCACACGUCCCCAGCCUAUGGGUUAGCUACAAGUAAUUGCGGCUAAUACUGGAUGCUCACAGAUACUCGUACGGGUGGUGGUGAGAAGGAGUGGCGGUUGGGGAUGGGCUCGCGUCUCAUCAGAUUGGUGGUGGGGUAGUGGCUUACCAAGGCUACGACGGGUCGCCGGCCUGAGAGGGUGACCGGCCACACUGGGACUGAGACACGGCCCAGACUCCUACGGGAGGCAGCAGUGGGGAAUAUUGCGCAAUGGGCGGAAGCCUGACGCAGCGACGCCGCGUGCGGGAUGACGGCCUUCGGGUUGUAAACCGCUUUCUGCAGGGACGAAGCGAAAGUGACGGUACCUGCACAAGAAGCACCGGCUAACUACGUG